rnacentral:rRNA from 1 species
AUGGAUUUGCUGCGAUACCAGGUCGGUGCCCCCUUGGAUCUUCAGUUUAGCUUGCGGCCAAGCGGAAGAGAGCUACUUGUCUACUGCCGGGACCUCAAGGCCGACGAAGGGAGACUAGACAUUUCCAACACCACAAGCUCCGAUGGCUUCAAAAUGUUCACCAUCAAUGUCGAGCGUCAUGGAGACCACUUCGCGGCCCUGCGGUCUCCUCACGAGCACAGAUCCAUGAUCUCAUCCUGUUUGCAGAAGGUCGUGAAAACCGCCAAAGCACACUUCGGCUCUGCGGUCAUGAUCUGUUCUGGCGAUGCCUGCGAAUACACUGGGUCUCUCAGGAUGAGGCUCCACGACAUGAUCCACGGCUUCUAUCUCAAAGUCUUCGCCAUGCUGCCCUCUACGUGGCUCCACCUCAUCCCCUACAUCCUAUUCGCUGGCCACUGCUAUGGCCCCAUGGACCCUGUCUCCAACAUCAUCAUCAACUCCAUUUGCCACCACAUACUGCGCCCGCUCCCAUCGUCAGCUGACUACAAAGUAGAGGUGUAUGACAUCCUCGACACCCUCUCUAUGCUUCGUGUGGAGGUCCGUUCCUUGGAAGGCCUCACUGCCCUCGUCCGAGCAAGCUCCGAGUCCCAAUGCUCGACGCAGCGGGCGAUGGAGCACCUCUCCUGCAAACGCUGUGACCUGUCCCAGGAGACGCACACCUCGCUGCAGUUUACUGACGCAGCCGCAGCCGCUCGACACCCACAACAUGCUGAGCUGGGAUCAUUCUUCGCUUCCCUGGCGCCUGACAGGCUCAUUGACCUGCGGCUCUUGCUGUCCACUAGCGCCGAUGGCAGGAUCUCCUUUGAGUCUCUUGGGGAAAUAAUAUCCACUCUCAAACAAAGUGCACUGCUGUUGGUGGCUCCCGUAUCUCCCAAUGCGGCUGAACUGUGCAACGAGGCUAAGGAGACUCUGCUACAAAAGAGGUCAUGUUAUAACGAGAUGAAGUUAUUCAUCCGCGCUGAGCUUGCGCAAGUGCUGAAGAAAUAUGCCUUUGAGCAUCCUCUGGAACCAAAAUAUGAGCCAAGUGUUAUCUGUGGUUUGGUGGCGGCUCCCAGAUCCCUAGACAGGCUUUCCUAUCAUGUUCAUUUUGUGGCUGCUUCUGAAUCUGAUAACCAACUCUUCUUUGCUGAAAUAAAUGAGCCAUUUCCUGACCCGCCAAAACCAAAUUUCUGCUGCCCUCUACCCCUGACAUCUACUGCCUGUUCCUCGCAUUUUAAUUCUACGCCAUUUUUCAUAUAUGAGAUUGAGAUGAUACAACAACUUAACGGCUAUGUAUACACCCAUUUUCGACAUGCUUGUGAAUCGGCCAUGAGAGACCAGUGUUUAUUUGGAAUAACUAGUUUAUGGUCCAAGGUUUUUGAGUCGCCGAGUCAAGCCAAGUCGCCGAGGCUGCGGCUAGUGGCUUGCUGGCUUGAGUCAGCGACUUGGCUUGAUUAG